AUUGAACGCUGGCGGCAGGCCUAAUACAUGCAAGUCGAGCGAGGGGCGGACGGGCGUGCAACGUCUGGGACAUUGCUUUAUGGAGGGGGUUAAUUACUGGAAACGGAAGUUAUUACCGCAAACCAUUAGCUGUGCGCAGAUGGGAUUAGGCAGUAGGUGGGGUAAAGGCUCACCUAGGCAACGAUCCCUAGCUGGUAUGAGAGGAUGACCGGCCACACUGGAACUGAGACACGGUCCAGACUCCUACGGGAGGCAGCAGUGGGGAAUAUUGCGCAAUGGGCGCAAGCCUGAUGGAGCAAUGCCGCGUGUGUGAAGAAGGCCUUCGGGUUGUAAAGCUCUUUCAGCGAGGAGGCGUUACUCACAGAGAAAGCAACGGCUAACUCCGUGCCAGCAGCCGCGGUAAUUC
rnacentral:rRNA from 1 species